rnacentral:rRNA from 1 species
UACGGGGGGGGCAAGCGUUGUUCGGAAUUACUGGGCGUAAAGCGUGCGCAGGCGGUUUCUUAAGUCAGAUGUGAAAGCCCCGGGCUUAACCUGGGAACUGCGUUUGAAACUGGGAGACUUGAGUGUGGCAGAGGGGGGUGGAAUUCCGACGUGUAGCAGUGAAAAUGCGUAGAUAUGUGGAGGAACACCGAUGGCGAAGGCAGCCCCCCUGGGUUAACACUGACGCUCAUGCACGAAAGCGUGGGGAGCAAACAGG